rnacentral:rRNA from 1 species
AUUGAACGCUGGCGGCAUGCCUUACACAUGCAAGUCGAACGGCAGCACGGGGGCAACCCUGGUGGCGAGUGGCGAACGGGUGAGUAAUGCAUCGGAACGUGCCCAGUAGUGGGGGAUAGCCCGGCGAAAGCCGGAUUAAUACCGCAUACGACCUACGGGUGAAAGCGGGGGACCGCAAGGCCUCGCGCUAUUGGAGCGGCCGAUGUCAGAUUAGGUUGUUGGUGGGGUAAAGGCCUACCAAGCCUACGAUCUGUAGCUGGUCUGAGGGGACGACCAGCCACACUGGGACUGAGACACGGCCCAGACUCCUACGGGAGGCAGCAGUGGGGAAUUUUGGACAAUGGGGGCAACCCUGAUCCAGCCAUGCCGCGUGUGGGAAGAAGGCCUUCGGGUUGUAAACCGCUUUUGUCAGGGAAGAAAUGCUCUGGGCUAAUACCUCGGAGUGAUGACGGUACCUGAAGAAUAAGCACCGGCUAACUACGUGCCAGCCGCCGCGGUAAGAC